rnacentral:rRNA from 1 species
CGUCUAUAUACGUAUAGCAUAUCAAUAAGCGGAGGAAAAGAAACUAACUAGGAUUCCCUCAGUAACGGCGAGUGAAGCGGGAAGAGCUCAAAUUUGAAAUCUUCAAGGUUCUACCUUGACGAAUUGUAGUUUAAAGAAGUGUUUUCUGUUGGAGUUUUGGUAAAAGUUCUUUGGAAUAGGACAUCAUAGAGGGUGAGAAUCCCGUAUUUGACCAUUAUUUCCAACUUUGUGAUACACUUUCAAAGAGUCGGAUUGUUUGGGAAUGCAGUCCAAAAUGGGUGGUAAAUUUCAUCUAAAGCUAAAUACUGGCGAGAGACCGAUAGCGAACAAGUACCGUGAGGGAAAGAUGAAAAGAACUUUGAAAAGAGAGUUAAACAGUACGUGAAAUUGUCAAAAGGGAAGCGUUUGACACCAGUGUUGUUUUCUCGAAAAUCAAUUAAAAAUGGCGGGAUUUUGUGUUGUAUUGACUUUAUCAGCUUUCUGCACUUUUUUCCUGUCUUUUUUAAUGCACUUUUCGUUUAACAAGUCAACAUCAAUUUCUUUUGUUGUAAAAGAGUCAUUGGAAGGUGGCUUUCACUUUCGGUGAAAGUGUUUAUAGCCUUUGACUUCUGCAAUCGGAGAGAUUGAGAUCUGCAGCGUAGAUCCUUCGGGGUUAGAUACAUUUGUGCUAAGCUAUAGCCUUUCAUAGACAACUUGUUGACUAUGAUCAGUCAUGUAGCUUACUCGCUUAUGCUAUUUUACCUACGCUUAGGAUGUUGACGAUCAGCUGAGCGCG